GCGCAGCAGGCGAGAAAACUUUACAAUGCUGGCAACAGCGAUAAGGGAACCUCGAGUGCCAGGUUACAAAUCUGGCUGUCGAGAUGCCUAAAAAGCAUUUCAUAGCAAGGGCCGGGCAAGACCGGUGCCAGCCGCCGCGGUAACACCGGCGGCUCGAGUGGUAACCGUUAUUAUUGGGUCUAAAGGGUCUGUAGCCGGCCGGAUAAGUCUCUUGAGAAAUCUGGCAGCUUAACUGUCAGGCUUUCAGGAGAUACUGUCUGGCUCGAGGCCGGGAGAGGUGAGAGGUACUUCAGGGGUAGGGGUGAAAUCUUGUAAUCCUUGAAGGACCACCAGUGGCGAAGGCGUCUCACCAGAACGGACCUGACGGCAAGGAACGAAAGCUAGGGGCACGAACCGGAUUAGAUACCCCCGUAGUCC
rnacentral:rRNA from 1 species